ensembl:snRNA U6 U6 spliceosomal RNA
GUGAUCACUGUGGCAGCACAUAUACUAAAUUGGAAUGAUACAGAGAAGAUUAGCAUGGCCCUGUGCAAGGAUGACACACAAAUUUGUGAAGCGUUCCAUAUUUUU